UACGUAGGGUGCGAGCGUUAAUCGGAAUUACUGGGCGUAAAGCGUGCGCAGGCGGUUUUGUAAGACAGGCGUGAAAGCCCCGGGCUCAACCUGGGAAUUGCAUCUGAUACUGGAAAGCUAGAGUAUGUGAGAGGGGGGUAGAAUUCCACGUGUAGCGGUGAAAUGCGUAGAGAUGUGGAGGAAUACCGGUGGCGAAGGCGGCCCCCUGGAUCGAUACUGACGCUGAGGUGCGAAAGCGUGGGGAGCAAACAGG
rnacentral:rRNA from 1 species